UAUGGCUAUAUCACAUUGAAACAUUGGUUCUCAUAUGAUCAUUGAAGUUAAGCAACACUGAACCUGGUCAGUACCUACAUGGGUGAUUGCAUGGGAAUACCAGAUGCUGUAUG